AACGAACGCUGGCGGCAUGCCUAACACAUGCAAGUCGAACGAGACCUUCGGGUCUAGUGGCGCACGGGUGCGUAACGCGUGGGAACCUGCCCUUAGGUUCGGAAUAACUCCCCGAAAGGGGUGCUAAUACCGGAUAAUGUCUUCGGACCAAAGACUUAUCGCCUUUGGAUGGGCCCGCGUUGGAUUAGCUAGUUGGUAGGGUAAAAGCCUACCAAGGCGACGAUCCAUAGCUGGUCUGAGAGGAUGAUCAGCCACACUGGGACUGAGACACGGCCCAGACCCCUACGGGAGGCAGCAGUGGGGAAUAUUGGACAAUGGGCGAAAGCCUGAUCCAGCAAUGCCGCGUGAGUGAUGAAGGCCUUAGGGUUGUAAAGCUCUUUUACCCGGGAUGAUAAUGACAGUACCGGGAGAAUAAGCUCCGGCUAACUCCGUG
rnacentral:rRNA from 1 species